UAUCCAUGGUGUGGACAAUCUCUUUGGUAUUCCCUAAAUCUUUCCCAAGUUUCUAAAAGAUCUUCAUCUUCUUUUUUGUUUAAAAGUUCUUAUCUUCUUUCUUAAGAGA
rfam:Eutrema salsugineum unplaced genomic scaffold scaffold_17, whole genome shotgun sequence.